CGAUUUUCAACCCGAGGAUCACGGAGUUGGCCGAGGUGGUCACCAGCAGCGGAGCUCCUCGGAACCAACGCCGGACAAAGCUGUAUCAGAGACAACUUCGGAGGAGGAACUUCAAACGGGCUCGUCAUCGCGGAUGGCGAUCGGCUACGAUGGCCGUGAUUGAUCGUGCCCUACCGCUGGGUAGACACGCCAGCGGAGUGCGCAUACAACCAGGUGCACAGAAAACUGGAAAAAAUCCCGUGUGCUGGCUGCCGAGCCUGCGGGUGGUGCGCUGGGCCUCCAGACCGGUCGUGAACGAGGUGGUCCCUGCCGGCCCAGUGGUGCCGGUCGCCCUUCAGCAGCAGCUGCUGCCUCAGGCGGUCCCCCUGCCACAGGAGGAGGCCCCUCCCGACGUAGCAGCGCAGCUGCUGCACCAGGCUCCACGGGUGCCUCAUCCUCGUCCAUCGGCCAGUCCGGAGGCUCGUAGUCCUGUGUUUCUUCGGACUCCGGCACCUCGAGGAAUGCGACCCCGGGGUCCACUUCAACUUCGUAGUUCAGGACUCUGUCCUCUCCAACCACCUCGUUAGUGGUUGGCUGCACGCUGACUGGUGCUGUGCUGGCGCUAAGGAAAAUA